rnacentral:rRNA from 1 species
UACGUAGGCAGCAAGCGUUGUUCGGAGUUACUGGGCGUAAAGGGUGUGUAGGCGGUUCUUUAAGUUUGCUGUGAAAUCUCCCGGCUUAACCGGGAGGGUGCGGUGAAUACUGAGGGACUAGAGUACGGGAGAGGAAAGUGGAAUUCCUGGUGUAGCGGUGAAAUGCGUAGAUAUCAGGAGGAACACCGGUGGUGUAGACGGCUUUCUGGACCGUAACUGACGCUGAAACACGAAAGCGUGGGUAGCAAACAGG